CAGUUCUAUGAGGAGAGAAGUAAGAAUUGAAUUGUUGCCUGUAAUGACUGUGCUAAACACAAUUGUACUGAAAAAGUUAGAAAAUGUCAACAGUAAGCAUGUAUAUCUCACAGUAGCUCAAGAUUUGUUUGUGGUGGUUUGUCUCUCGUUCUCUGUACAGUGCACUCCCUCCAGUGCUUCACCUGUGAGGGCGACGACUGCAAGGUCAGAACCGAAUGCCCCCCAUCUGCCAACUUCUGCAAGACAGAGGCCACCGCAAAUUUUUUGUCCCGCACAUGUGAGGAGUCCUGCACACCAGGGGAGAACGUCCACUGCUGCGAUCAGGACUUGUGCGGCUGAACAUCUCUUUGUCCAGUCUACAAAGAGCCUUGUUAUGCUUGAAGAAUCACUCAUCAGUUAUUAAUCAGCAUAUUUAAAAUGUAAACACUCAUCAGUAUAUAGAGAAAAUGUAAUAAGGCAUUAAAAAACUCAAUAAAAAAAUAAUAAAUCCAAUACAUUUUUGUGUGCAUGAAUGAUUUCCGCUUAAUGUGCUGCUGUUUUUUUUACUUUUAGGACAGUUAAACGUAUUGCUUCAGGGGUGUGAUACAAAAAAUACAGUUUGGGCAUCAAUUCA
ensembl:lncRNA